AAAGCGUGCGCAGGCGGCUUUGCAAGACAGAUGUGAAAUCCCCGGGCUCAACCUGGGAACUGCAUUUGUGACUGCAAGGCUAGAGUACGGCAGAGGGGGAUGGAAUUCCGCGUGUAGCAGUGAAAUGCGUAGAUAUGCGGAGGAACACCGAUGGCGAAGGCAAUCCCCUGGGCCUGUACUGACGCUCAUGCACGAAAGCGUGGGGAGCAAACAGGAUUAGAUACCCUGGU
rnacentral:rRNA from 1 species